rnacentral:rRNA from 1 species
CCUACGGGGGGCUGCAGUGGGGAAUAUUGCACAAUGGGGGAAACCCUGAUGCAGCGACGCCGCGUGAGUGAAGAAGUAAUUCGUUAUGUAAAGCUCUAUCAGCAGGGAAGAAAAUGACGGUACCUGAGUAAGAAGCCCCGGCUAACUACGUGCCAGCAGCCCCGGUAAGACGGAGGGUGCAAGCGUUAUCCGGAUUUACUGGGUGUAAAGGGAGCGUAGACGGGAGUGCAAGUCAGGAGUGGAAGGCGGGGGCUCAACCCCCGGACUGCUCUGGAGACUGUACGGCUGGAGUGCAGGUGAGGUAAGUGGAAUUCGUGGUGUAGCGGUGAAAUGCGUAGAUAUUAGGAGGAACACCAAUGGCGAAGGCAGCUUACUGGACUGUAACUGACGUUGAGGCUCGAAAGCGUGGGGAGCAAACAGGAUUAGAUACCCCAGUAGUC